rnacentral:snoRNA from 1 species
AAGCUUGAAGAUGAUGAGCUCGUCACCUUCAUUGUCACAGGUCUCGGUGAGGACUAUGAGUCAAUCAUCACGGCUAUCACGUCCUAUGUUGAGCCCAUCUUUGUCAAUGAACUGUAUGCCCAGCUUGUGGCGUUUGAGC